UAGCUAAGUCGGUAGAGCACGAAACUCUUAAUCUCGGGGUCUUGGGUUCGAGCCCCAC
rnacentral:tRNA from 1 species